GUGUGACUGCGUACCUUUUGUAUAAUGGGUCAGCGACUUAUAUUCUGUAGCAAGGUUAACCGAAUAGGGGAGCCGAAGGGAAACCGAGUCUUAACUGGGCGUUAAGUUGCAGGGUAUAGACCCGAAACCCGGUGAUCUAGCCAUGGGCAGGUUGAAGGUUGGGUAACACUAACUGGAGGACCGAACCGACUAAUGUUGAAAAAUUAGCGGAUGACUUGUGGCUGGGGGUGAAAGGCCAAUCAAACCGGGAGAUAGCUGGUUCUCCCCGAAAGCUAUUUAGGUAGCGCCUCGUGAAUUCAUCUCCGGGGGUAGAGCACUGUUUCGGCAAGGGGGUCAUCCCGACUUACCAACCCGAUGCAAACUGCGAAUACCGGAGAAUGUUAUCACGGGAGACACACGGCGGGUGCUAACGUCCGUCGUGAAGAGGGAAACAACCCAGACCGCCAGCUAAGGUCCCAAAGUCAUGGUUAAGUGGGAAACGAUGUGGGAAGGCCCAGACAGCCAGGAUGUUGGCUUAGAAGCAGCCAUCAUUUAAAGAAAGCGUAAUAGCUCACUGGUCGAGUCGGCCUGCGCGGAAGAUGUAACGGGGCUAAACCAUGCACCGAAGCUGCGGCAGCGACGCUUAUGCGUUGUUGGGUAGGGGAGCGUUCUGUAAGCCUGUGAAGGUGUACUGUGAGGUAUGCUGGAGGUAUCAGAAGUGCGAAUGCUGACAUAAGUAACGAUAAAGCGGGUGAAAAGCCCGCUCGCCGGAAGACCAAGGGUUCCUGUCCAACGUUAAUCGGGGCAGGGUGAGUCGACCCCUAAGGCGAGGCCGAAAGGCGUAGUCGAUGGGAAACAGGUUAAUAUUCCUGUACUUGGUGUUACUGCGAAGGGGGGACGGAGAAGGCUAUGUUGGCCGGGCGACGGUUGUCCCGGUUUAAGCGUGUAGGCUGGUUUUCCAGGCAAAUCCGGAAAAUCAAGGCUGAGGCGUGAUGACGAGGCACUACGGUGCUGAAGCAACAAAUGCCCUGCUUCCAGGAAAAGCCUCUAAGCAUCAGGUAACAUCAAAUCGUACCCCAAACCGACACAGGUGGUCAGGUAGAGAAUACCAAGGCGCUUGAGAGAACUCGGGUGAAGGAACUAGGCAAAAUGGUGCCGUAACUUCGGGAGAAGGCACGCUGAUAUGUAGGUGAAGUCCCUCGCGGAUGGAGCUGAAAUCAGUCGAAGAUACCAGCUGGCUGCAACUGUUUAUUAAAAACACAGCACUGUGCAAACACGAAAGUGGACGUAUACGGUGUGACGCCUGCCCGGUGCCGGAAGGUUAAUUGAUGGGGUUAGCGCAAGCGAAGCUCUUGAUCGAAGCCCCGGUAAACGGCGGCCGUAACUAUAACGGUCCUAAGGUAGCGAAAUUCCUUGUCGGGUAAGUUCCGACCUGCACGAAUGGCGUAAUGAUGGCCAGGCUGUCUCCACCCGAGACUCAGUGAAAUUGAACUCGCUGUGAAGAUGCAGUGUACCCGCGGCAAGACGGAAAGACCCCGUGAACCUUUACUAUAGCUUGACACUGAACAUUGAGCCUUGAUGUGUAGGAUAGGUGGGAGGCUUUGAAGUGUGGACGCCAGUCUGCAUGGAGCCGACCUUGAAAUACCACCCUUUAAUGUUUGAUGUUCUAACGUUGACCCGUAAUCCGGGUUGCGGACAGUGUCUGGUGGGUAGUUUGACUGGGGCGGUCUCCUCCUAAAGAGUAACGGAGGAGCACGAAGGUUGGCUAAUCCUGGUCGGACAUCAGGAGGUUAGUGCAAUGGCAUAAGCCAGCUUGACUGCGAGCGUGACGGCGCGAGCAGGUGCGAAAGCAGGUCAUAGUGAUCCGGUGGUUCUGAAUGGAAGGGCCAUCGCUCAACGGAUAAAAGGUACUCCGGGGAUAACAGGCUGAUACCGCCCAAGAGUUCAUAUCGACGGCGGUGUUUGGCACCUCGAUGUCGGCUCAUCACAUCCUGGGGCUGAAGUAGGUCCCAAGGGUAUGGCUGUUCGCCAUUUAAAGUGGUACGCGAGCUGGGUUUAGAACGUCGUGAGACAGUUCGGUCCCUAUCUGCCGUGGGCGCUGGAGAACUGAGGGGGGCUGCUCCUAGUACGAGAGGACCGGAGUGGACGCAUCACUGGUGUUCGGGUUGUCAUGCCAAUGGCACUGCCCGGUAGCUAAAUGCGGAAGAGAUAAGUGCUGAAAGCAUCUAAGCACGAAACUUGCCCCGAGAUGAGUUCUCCCUGACUCCUUGAGAGUCCUGAAGGAACGUUGAAGACGACGACGUUGAUAGGCCGGGUGUGUAAGCGCAGCGAUGCGUUGAGCUAACCGGUACUAAUGAACCGUGAGGCUUAACCUUACAACGCCGAAG
rnacentral:rRNA from 1 species